ACAACAACUCUGAGCAGUCUUUUACACUCUUCUUUCUCCUUCAAAGGAAAGAAGUUUUCCCUCACAUUUUUAUGGAACUUCCUGUUUUUCAGUUUGUGACUAUUGCCAUUUGCCCUGUUGCUGGAUGCCACCGAAAGGAGACUGGCCCAUUCUCUUGACACCACCUUGCAGAGUCCACAUAAAAAGCAGCUUGCAGUCAUUGUUUUGGGAGGUGUUUGGACAAGUUCUGCCAGGCAAAUCAACACAGACUCUUUAGUGCAGUCCUGAUUUCUGUAUUAAUGAAUUGAGAAGAUGACAUCAGGCUCUUAGGGAUCAGCACUUCAAACAAUAUGGCAUUCUUGCUCAACUCUUUGUUUCCCUUCUAUGAGAUGAUGAACUAGGGAUAUGCUGACCCUGGAAUCACACCUGCAAAGUGUUUGGAGAUGUUUGGGAACAAGGCUGAAGAAAAUGGAGAAAUAUUAUUAGAUUAUGUUUCUUUUUUCCAGAAUUUAAAAAAAAAAAAUGUUUUCAAUACCUCUGCAAGUGAAGAUUUAACAGUGUUGUUGAUGGUUCCAUACACCUUUUUUUGGGAAGACUUGAAGUUCAUAAAAAGAAAAAAAAAAACAAACAAACAAUAAAAAAUGGAGGAGAACAUAACUGUUCUUGAUGAUGGUGAAUGGUGUGGGGAAGAUGGAUAUGAGGAGUGGCUGAGGUCACUUGGUUUGUUCAGCCUGGAGGAGACUGAGGGAUGAAUCUACAGCGUCCUCCUAAGGCAAAACAGACAGGCAGGCACUGGUCUGUUCUCUUUGGUGACCAGUGACAGGACUCAAGGAAAGGAA